rnacentral:rRNA from 1 species
CAGCACCUCAAGUGGUCAGGAUGAUUAUUGGGCCUAAAGCAUCCGUAGCCGGCUCUGUAAGUUUUCGGUUAAAUCUGUACGCUCAACGUACAGGCUGCCGGGAAUACUGCAGAGCUAGGGAGUGGGAGAGGUAGACGGUACUCGGUAGGAAGGGGUAAAAUCCUUUGAUCUAUUGAUGACCACCUGUGGCGAAGGCGGUCUACCAGAACACGUCCGACGGUGAGGGAUGAAAGCUAGGGGAGCAAACCGGAUUAGAUACCCGAGUAGUCC